AAAGAGAGAGAACAGCCUAGGUUUCAUGAACUAAAAAUAUCUUGGUGACAAGGCAUUGGAAAAAACAAGAGAAGCCCAGGGGAGAGUGCCUUGAUUCCAAUCCUCACAGGCUUUCUCAUGGAAGGGCCACAGGAUUGUCUUGAUAAGGGAUGUGAUCAAAUACCAGGGGUCAUUUCCUUGGAACUAUAAGGAAUUUUAAAGUUUAAUGUGGUUCCUCUGUGCUUCUCCCUAACACCCCCCUUUUUUUCCCUUUCCCAGCAGCAAUUCAUACAUAUUUUGAAAGUCUGACCUAAAAUUUCAUGAAUUAAAUUAUUUGAAUUCAGGAUACUUCUGCGAUUUAGCAUCUGUGAUGCAUAAGACAUGAAUUUAAUUUAGACCAACUAUGCAUAUAAUCUGCAGUUCCAAGCACCUGCAGAUAUGACUGCCUUCUCUACUAAUUGCCAGAGUGUUUGGAAGUCACGACCUCUUUAAUCCUGAGAGCAACAAGCUCUAAGGCCCUGCCUUUGCACUCUUCAAAGCCUUGGGCUUAAGCCUUUUCUCCUGACAUGCUCCCUGCUCAGACUUCACUCCUAGUUGUCUUCUGAUUACUCAUGUCACUGCAUGAAGGAAUGAUUUGGAACUAUUACAGCAGAUUAUGUGUGGCCAUGGGUGGUCUUUCUGGAUCUAAACUGACCUGCCGGUCCCACAGCAGUAAAUCUUAGUAAAUGUUAGGUGGCAAUAUGUUCUAAGCAGCCAUAACAAUCACAGGUGAAAUAUCUUGAAGUUCCCACUAUCUCAUCCCAGGAAGACAGAUAUUUAAAACAGUGACCAGAACUACUCUAUGACCUUGCUAUCUCACAGACACAAGUUAGCAGCUCCUAAAAAAAUUAAAUUAAAUUUAAAAAACCCUUCCCACCAAUGCCUGUUUGCAUUGUAUUUGAUAGAAACAAUGACAGUAUAAGAACAAAACUAGGAAGCAGUGGUUAGGAAAAGGUUAAGGACUCUGUCUGCAGGCUAACACUGUCCAAUCACAGGCAUCGUCCUUACAUGGUGAUCAGCAUGUGCUGCUCGGCUCCCAUUAAAGGUCCUCCCAUUAAAGGUCCCCACGCAGUGAUUGGUCUAGUUUCCAGCUCCAGCAAACUCAGGAGCUACCGAAACCUUCUGGAGUCAGCCUUCUCUGUCCGUUCUCUGGCCUCCUUUCACUCUUGGCUUGGGGCCCAGGGUAGUCAUUCCUGGGUAGCCUAAAUAACACAUGAACUAACUCAUGAAUUCUCUUUAUGUUCUCCUAAUCAGCUAGAAGUAGUAACACCCAAAUUCCAGACAGUACUCUGACAGAACCACGCGGCUGCCAGGUUUCCCAGCUGCACUUAGUCUUGUACCCUGGACCCUGCUUUACCUCCCCCCCCCUCCCCCCGCCUCUCCCCAGAGCAAACAAGUGAAACAAAUCAGAGUUGCUUAUGUGGAAGGAUCCCCAAGCACCUGUGAUGUGUCCCAUAGUACACUGGGUGCUGGGGAAUAGAAACACUGGAGGGAUUAACUAGCUGCUGGCAGGAGGAAACAGGGAUCAAGAAAACUUGGGAGUUCUCCUUCCAUCUCUGGCCACUGACGUGUCCUGGGGCUGAAAGCCAAUAGUUAAUCUUUGCCAUCCCUGGCUCUCUCCUCAGAAAAGUGGGACUUGGUACUUUCUCCUUGAAAUUUGUGGGAACACUAAAAACUUAAGACAAAUGGU